rnacentral:rRNA from 1 species
ACGUAGGGGGCAAGCGUUGUCCGGAAUGAUUGGGCGUAAAGGGCGCGUAGGUGGCUUGGUAAGUCUGGAGUGAAAGUCAUGAUUUUAACUUGGGUAUUGCUUUGGAUACUGCUGGGCUUGAGUGCAGGAGAGGUAAGUGGAAUUCCCGGUGUAGCGGUGAAAUGCGUAGAUAUCAGGAGGAACACCAGUGGCGAAGGCGACUUACUGGACUGUAACUGACACUGAGGCACGAAAGUGUGGGGAGCAAACAG